UCCUCUGUUUUUCUGUAUGAG
rnacentral:piRNA from 1 species